rnacentral:rRNA from 1 species
AACGAACGCUGGCGGCAGGCCUAACACAUGCAAGUCGAGCGCGCCUUUCGGGGUGAGCGGCGGACGGGUUAGUAACGCGUGGGAACGUACCCUUUUCUGCGGAAUAGCCUCUGGAAACGGAGAGUAAUACCGCAUACGCCCUUUGGGGGAAAGAUUUAUCGGAGAAGGAUCGGCCCGCGUUAGAUUAGAUAGUUGGUGGGGUAACGGCUUACCAAGUCUACGAUCUAUAGCUGGUUUUAGAGGAUGAUCAGCAACACUGGGACUGAGACACGGCCCAGACUCCUACGGGAGGCAGCAGUGGGGAAUCUUGGACAAUGGGCGCAAGCCUGAUCCAGCCAUGCCGCGUGAGUGAAGAAGGCCUUAGGGUCGUAAAGCUCUUUCGCCUGUGAUGAUAAUGACAGUAGCAGGUAAAGAAACCCCGGCUAACUCCGUGCCAGCAGCCGCGGUAAUACGGAGGGGGUUAGCGUUGUUCGGAAUUACUGGGCGUAAAGCGCGCGUAGGCGGAUUGGAAAGUUGGGGGUGAAAUCCCGAGGCUCAACCUCGGAACUGCCUCCAAAACUCCCAGUCUAGGGUUCGAGAGAGGUGAGUGGAAUUCCGAGUGUAGAGGUGUAAUUCGUAGAUAUUCGGAAGAACACCAGUGGCGAAGGCGGCUCACUGGCUCGAUACUGACGCUGAGGUGCGAAAGUGUGGGGAGCAAACAGGAUUAGAUACCCUGGUAGUCCACACCGUAAACGAUGAAUGCCAGUCGUCGGAUAGUAUACUAUUCGGUGACACACCUAACGGAUUAAGCAUUCCGCCUGGGGAGUACGGUCGCAAGAUUA